rnacentral:rRNA from 1 species
UACGAAGGGGGCUAGCGUUGUUCGGAAUUACUGGGCGUAAAGCGCGCGUAGGCGGUGAUCUUUGUCAGAUGUGAAAUCCCCGGGCUUAACCUGGGAAUUGCAUUUGUGACUGCCCGGCUAGAGUGUGUCAGAGGGGGGUAGAAUUCCACGUGUAGCAGUGAAAUGCGCAGAUAUCAGGAAGAACACCCGUGGCGAAGGCGGCUCUCUGGGACGGUACUGACGCUGAGACGCGAAAGCGUGGGGAGCGAACAGG